UAAGCAGAUGGCCUCCCGCACCCCCCCCCACCCUGGAGGAUUUCUUAAUGGGGUGAAAAUGCCAGUCCCCGAAGCCAGGGCUCCCGGACCCCCAGGGCCGAGCUGGGCGCGGGAGACCCGCAGGGGCGGAGAGGCCGGCUGAGCUUGAAGAAGUGGAGGAGAGAUCAGCACAAGUUAAGUGGGGCGUCCCCAUCCCGUCUUCCUGCUCACCCUCCUUUGCCCCCAACUCCAUCUCUGCGACACCCUGCCCCCCCAAAAGAAGUCACUCCAGGGCUCUGUCUGCAGAGAGCCAGGGUGAGUGCGGGCAAGGCGAGAGAGAGAGCGACCUCGGUCGUGGGCAAGUAGCUUGUUUUUACGUCCUUCAAUAAAAUUUUUAUGAGGAUCA